GCUUGCCCAAGUAAGCCUCCAAAGAAACCUGGCUUGCCAUCCUCUGCCUCCUCCUGCCAGCCCCUAACCCCUGCGCACACAUGGAGUUGGCCCAUUCGAACUGGAGACACCCUGGGCUGUGCAAUUAGACUGGAGAAAACAGACCCCAUUUCAAAAGUAAUAAAAUGGAAGCAGAAAGAUGAAGCAGAGACGUUCCAGAUGUUCCAGGUGCUGGGAACAGGGCUGGUUGUGCCCUGAGAAAUCACAGCAAGCUCUCCUCUCUCUGGAUGUCAGCUUCCGCUUGUUUCGAAGGAGGAGAGAGGUUACCUGCAGACUCCUCCCGUGGAGACCUCUCGGAUGCCUCCAUUUGGGAGAAAACUGAAUAUGUCAAAGGGCACCAGAUCUGGGAACCAAAGGGGAGCUGUUUAAAGUGCCUCUAAGAACACUCAUCUCCUAUUUUGUGUAAUGAAGCCUCUGGUGAAAAAUGGAGUCUGACAGGUAUGUGGAAAGAAAUGCCCUCCAGGGGUGGGCAGAGCUGGCUGUGUUAGCCAGGCAGGUAGAUGGACAAAUAGAUGGAUAAAGUCUUUGGUAAACAUGGAGCAUUACUCAACAGCAAAUUUACCACCUCUUGCUGACUCAAACCAGC
rnacentral:lncRNA from 1 species